rnacentral:lncRNA from 1 species
CUGCCAUCCUGCUCCUGGACUACUUUAUUAGCUGUGCCUAGCCCUCCAAUAGCUGUGCCACAUUUUAAGGUUCAUCGUAAUCAUAAAAACAUGUCUGUUACCAUUGUUCAGAAGUUGGAGGUUAUAUUUAAGAACAACAUAUAAAAACAGUGAAGCAAGUGAGUUAAUGCUCUAAAUUAUGUAAAAGCAAUCCUUAUUGCUUUAUGACAAGUAUUUCUUGUGCAGCAGGGCCUCAUGGGAGCUACGACUAAGCCAUUUGCACAGCUCCAGUGUUGAGCCAGAAAUUUCCAGGCUUCCUGAGGGAAUCAGUCUCUGGAUUAGACUUUCUUCUGAGCAGGUUGGCAAGAGCUGAAUAACAACUUAUAAAUCUGUUGCUGAAUGAAUAAGAG